UGAUCAAAAUGACAGAUAAAUUAUUCAGUCCCUACAUAUCAAUUUUAACUUCAUAUGAUUUAACUCGACUGUCUUCUGAUUUGCGGAUUCAUUUGAUUACUUCUGAGCUGGAUGUUCAAUUGGAUAGUACAUUUGAAUUUGAGCGAGUUUGGGAAGGAACAAUUACAAUUGAUGUAGUUGAGGAUUUACCGCACGGAUUUUAUGCAUUUGCACCUUUUUCCAAUGCUGCUAAAAUUGCUUCACAAGUUUGUUUGGAUCGAUUGAAACAAGCUAUUGGUUUACAAGCAGAGUGCAAUAUUAAUUUCUGAUGUUAGCUUGAGAGCAUAAAGCUCAAAUUGACAGCUGAACGCCGU
rnacentral:lncRNA from 1 species